GAUGAACGCUGGCGGCGUGCCUAAUACAUGCAAGUCGAGCGAACGGACGAGAAGCUUGCUUCUCUGAUGUUAGCGGCGGACGGGUGAGUAACACGUGGAUAACCUACCUAUAAGACUGGGAUAACCACGGGAAACCGGAGCUAACACCGGAUGAUAUUUUGAACCGCAUGGUUCAAAAGUAAAAGUCGGUCUUUCUGUAUCUAAUCGAUGGAUCCGCGCUGCAUUAGCUAGUUGGUAAGGUAACGGCUUACCAAGGCAACGAUGCAUAGCCGACCUGAGAGGGUGAUCGGCCACACUGGAACUGAGACACGGUCCAGACUCCUACGGGAGGCAGCAGUAGGGAAUCUUCCGCAAUGGGCGAAAGCCUGACGGAGCAACGCCGCGUGAGUGAUGAAGGUCUUCGGAUCGUAAAACUCUGUUAUUAGGGAAGAACAUAUGUGUAAGUAACUGUGCACAGCUUGACGGUACCUAAUCAGAAAGCCACGGCUAACUACGUG
rnacentral:rRNA from 1 species